rnacentral:sRNA from 1 species
GCCAGGUGCGGAGGCGGACGUCUGUAAUCCCAGAGGCCUGGGAGGCUGAGGCAGGAGGAUCGUGAGUUGCAAGCCAGCCUCAGCAACUUAGCAAGGCAUUUAGCAACUCAGCAAGAUCCUGUCUCUA